GGGGCAGUAGCUCAGCUGGGAGAGCGCCAGGUUCGCAAUCUGGAGGUCGCCGGUUCAAUCCCGGUCUGCUCCA
rnacentral:tRNA from 1 species